CGCCAGCAGAGGGCAGAUCGCAGACGACAGAGGAUAGCGACCAACAGGCAGCAAGCUUUCCUUCCCCGAAUCAGUCCCAUUUCUGGUUUCCUUCUCGUCAAAACCAGUAGCCAGAGCCCAGACAGAUCAGAGAAGAGGCAAGAGCAAACCUUUGUGAGUUCUUUCCCAAUUCCUUCUUGGCUUCUCAUUAUUUACAUGUAACUAAUGCAGUAAAUUUUUAGCUUAGCCCAUGACUAAAGCUUCCGAUAAUAAAAAGUGGAUAAACUUGCUUAUAUUCUGUUAAGAAUUAGUGAAAUCAUCUCUUUGUUAGGUUUCUAAUUGUGACCACUGACCAAGUUUGGUUGAAAAAUCUUUUGUUAAUUAUUGAAUUUUCAUAGUCUAUAAUCUAUAUUCUCAGUUGAAUGGCAGUGGUUUUGGUCUGCUUUUACAAAUCGAAUUUGGACUAUUUUACAAAAUUUCACUAUCUGGUAUUAAGAUGGGCGAAAAAUUGGUAAUCUUUCAUUUGUGUCAUCUAAUAAUUAUGUUGAUUCUAAUACUUCAAGCAUUUAUUUGUUUUUGACUCGUUUUGAGUAUUCAAAUUGACAUAGAUGGCCAACCUACCAGCUAUAGAUGUAGCAGCUUUGUCUAAUUUUUUAGUGUUUGAUUUUUCUAAUACACUGCUCUCUAACUCUUGGGGAUUUUUUUGUUGAAUUGUUGGUUUUUAAUCAAUUGUAAUUGAAAAUUAAAUUGGGGUAUUUUGCAAAUUAUGGAACGAUUUUUCAAUCGAAACGAAAGUCGAUACCUAGUUCUCCUAGUCCCGCCGCUAUUUCUAGCUGAGCACUUGAGUUGUUAAAAAACACAAAGAAGUCUCGGGCUCAAUUCAAUGUGAAUAAUCUUAUUUCUGAUACAGGAAAACGCCCCCUAUCAAGUCAUAUGAUCCUAAUAUCAUAGAUGAUGUUAGGAUGAGAUAUUUGGAAAAAAGUCCUUGUCAGCCACAUGGACAUGAUUUUCCAAGAAGACGGAUAAGAAAUGAUAAUAGGUGUUUUUGAAAAAAAUGGUUUUCUGAAUUUUAUUGGUUGGAGUACAGUAUAGAAAAUGAUGCAGCUUAUUGUUUGCAUUGCUACUUGUUCAAACCUAAUAAAUGGGAUCAAGGGGGUGGACAUAUAUUCACUAAGACCGGCUUUAGGGAUUGGAAGCGCAAAAAUACAUUGAAAGAUCAUGUCGGGCUCGUUGAUAGUGUUCAUAAUCAAGCUUUUGUAAAGUGUACCAAUUUGAUGAAUCAAAAGCAAAGUAUCUCCUAUGUUAUUUCUAGCCAAAGUAGUAGUCAACAAAAAAAUUAUAGGACAAGGUUGACUGCGGUGCUAAAUUGUACUAGACUCCUCUUGAUGCAAGAAUUGUCAUCUCGUGGUCAUGAUGAAUCGAAAGAGUCUCUUAAUAAAGAAAAUCUAAUUGAGCUACUAAAUUGGUAUGUAGCUCGUCGUAAGAAAAUUAAUGAAGUACUAUUUAGUAAUGCUCCUAGAAAUGACCAAAUGACUUCACCAAGCAUCCAUAAGGAUUUGGUUCAUUGUUGUGCUGUAGAGACGACAAGGUCUAUGAUCAAUGAGAUGGGUGAUUCUUUGUUUUCAAUUUUGGUUAAUGAGUCUCGUGAUAAUUCUAUAAAAGAACAAAUGACAGUUGUUUUGAGAUUUGUUGACAAAAGUGGGCAAGUGAAGGAGCGUUUGUUGGGCAUUUUCCACAUCGCUGAUACUUGUGCCCAAUCACUCAAGGAUGCCAUUGACGCAAUGUUUCCUACACAUGGGUUGAGCAUAUUUGGCCUGAGAGGUCAAGGUUACGAUGAAGUAAGCAAUAUGUCAGGUGAGUUCAAUGGCUUAAAAGCUUUAAUUUUAAGAAAGAACCCAUGUGCUAUGUAUGUUCAUUGUUUUGCUCACCAGCUUCAGUUGGUAGUUGUUUCUGUGGCACAUAGGAAUGUUAUGCUUAGUGAUUUAUUUAACAUGCUUGUUAUUAUUGUGAAUUUGGUUGGCGCAUCAUGUAAACGUGUAGAUGCUCUUUGAACAGGUUAUCAUUCUGAAAUUCUGGAGAGGCUUAAUAUUGAGGAACUUUCUGGUCGAACUGGUCAAUUUUAAGAAAUGAGUUUGACACACCCAGGUGAUACUAUAUGGGGCUCACAUCUAAAGACAAUGACUCGCUUUAUUAGUAUGUUUAAUGCAAUCAUAGAUGUUCUUUAGAACAAAAAUCAAUGGUCGUAAGACAGGUGGACACUAUGCAAGAUUUUCAAUUUGUGUUUAGUCUCCAUUUUAUGUUUGAAAUUCUUACAAUUACAGACGACCUUUCACAAGCUUUACAAAAAAAAAAAAGAAUCAGGAUAUUCAGAAUGCUAUGAGGUUAUUGAAGUUGUAUAAGUACGCAUUGCAGAACACGAGAGACAAUAGUUGGGAUACUUUGUUGAGUAAGGUAAUUGAGUUUUUGUUGAUAAACAUAUUUUAGUACCCAAUAUGGAUGAUAUUGUAGUAUUGAAAGGUCGACCUAGGCAUGUAACUCAACAGGUGACUUAUUAUCAUCACUUUUAUGUUGAUUUGUAUAGUUAUGCGAUAGAUUUAAUCUUGCAAAAGUUGAAUGAUCGUUUUUUAGAAACAACUACUAAGAUUUUUACUUGCAUUUCG
rnacentral:lncRNA from 1 species